rnacentral:rRNA from 1 species
UACAGGGGGGGGCAAGCGUUGUUCGGAAUUACUGGGCGUAAAGGGCUCGUAGGCGGCCAACUAAGUCCGACGUGAAAUCCCCAGGCUUAACCUGGGAACUGCGUCGGAUACUGGAUGGCUUGAAUUCGGGAGAGGGAUGCAGAAUUCCAGGUGUAGCGGUGAAAUGCGUAGAUAUCUGGAGGAAUACCGGUGGCGAAGGCGGCAUCCUGGACCGACAUUGACGCUGAUGAGCGAAAGCUAGGGGAGCAAACAGG